GGCAGCAGGUGAGUGACGUCAGUGACUGUGCGGGUGGGCAAGCAAGUGAGAAAGCGGUCGCUGAGGGCGGGGGAGAAAUACAUUGGCAUCAAACUCCGUAGCUUGCUAGCUUGUGCACGCUAGCUUUCUGAGACUCUUAUUUUGUUAGCAAAGGCAGGAUGAAACAGGUCUUUUAUGGUGAAGACAGGAACUGUGCAGUCGGUCUUUAGAGUUUUGACAGUAGGUACGGAGUCUCUAGAAAUAAAAUGUGUUUCUCUGCGUCCGCCCUGUUAGAGAUUUUUUUCUUAAAUAUGAGCUUGCAGCAGCCAGCGUCAUCUCACAAGAUCCUCGGGUGCCGAGAAUGUCAAACAACUGACGAAAGUGAAGUCUUGGUAUGAUUGAUGAUUGCUCAUGUUUAUGUAUAUUUUUUAAUGCCUGGCUUGAGAUCGACUGACACACCCUCCGAGAUCGACCAGUCGAUCGCGAUCGACGUAAUGGGCACCCCUGAGUUGGAGUAUGGAGGCAGAUAGCGAAAACAAAAUUGAAGAAGAAACUGAAGCUAUUGACGCUAUUCGGCCAUGUUUGCCUUAGCAUCGCCGGUAAAAUGUGCAGACCAACGAUCGGAAGUUUCGCAUCUUGUGACACUGGAUCAACUUAAAUCCAUCGAUUGGUAAAUGUUUGUUUGGCAUUAAAUGAGGGGAGGGAAACGCUGGAUGUAAAUAUGGUUUCAAAUGUACAUACAGCUAGCCUAAAUAGCAUGUUACCAUCGAUUAGCUGGCAGUCAUGCCGUGACCAAAUAUGUCUGAUUAGCGCAUAAGUCAACAACAUCAACAAAACUCACCUUUGUGAUUUUGUUCACUUUAUUGUUGGAAAUGCAUCUGCAGGUUAUCCAUACAACUCUGUCUUAGCAUCACCGGUAAAAUGUGCAGACACUCCGGCACAUUCGACGGGGGUCUGGCGAAAGAUUUCUUUGACUUUAUCGUUGGAAAUGCAUCUGCAGGUUAUCCAUAUAUCUCUGUGCCAUGUCUGUCUUAGCACCGCCGGUAAAAUGUGCAGACACUCCGGCACAUUCGAUGGGGGUCUGGCGGAAGAUUUCUUUGACUUUAUCGUUGGAAAUGCAUUUGCUUUGAGUGUCGCAGGAUAUCCACACAAUCUUGCCAUCUCUGUAGCGGCAUAGCUUUCGUCUGUGAAGUGUGCGGAUCAAACGACUGGCCAUUUUGUCGGCUUUCCCCACACCCUCGUAUUUUGAACAAGUUUCGUCCAAUUUCUUGCCACUUUCGCAUCUUUGGGCCGGUGGUGCAACUUGAAUCCCUCUCUGUUAGUGUUGUUACACCCUCCGACAACACACCGACGAGGAUAUGCAGAAAAUAGUCAAAAAAAACGAAAAUAACAGAGCUGAGGCGAGGUGUUUGUAAUGUGUUUGAGAAAAUGGCAGCUUUAUUACCUAUGUGACCUCACGUUCUGACGUCAUCGCUCCAAAAGCGCUAAAUAGAAAGGCGUUUAAUUCGCCAAAAUUCACCCAUUUAGAGUUCGGGAAUUGGUUAAAAAAUAUAUGGUCUUUUUUCUGCAACAUCAAGGUAUAUAUUGGUGCUUACAUAGGUCUGGUGAUAAUGUUCCCCUUUAAGUGUUGUAUGUGCAUACAAAUGUUUUAAAUUAGAUUUUCCUCUUAAGUUGAGAAGAAUUGUUGUACAUUCUUUGGUAGCAGGUUAUAGUUUGAUUCGUACAUCAUUUUAGCUGUUUGCAAUUUUACCAAAUCAUCGAGCUUUAAUAUUUUUGACUCAAAAAAUAAAGGGUUUGUAUGUUCUCUAUAUCCAACAUUAUGUAUUCUAAUUGAUCUUUUUUGUAACACAGUUAACGAAUGUAGCGCAUUGUAGUUAUUUCCCCAUAUUUCUGCACAAUAACUCAGAUAUGGUAACACUAGCGAGCAAUAAAGAAUAUAAAGUGAUUUUUGGCCCAGGAAAUAUUUUGCUUUUCUUCAUUAUUGAAAUGUUUUUUGCCACCUUAUGUUGUAUGUUUUGUAUAUGAGAUUUUCCAGGUCAUUUUAUCUAUUAAUACUCCCAAAAAUCUGUUUUCUUUUACCCUUUCAAUAUUUACCUUUGCGGGGACUAUUAAGCUCUUGCUCUCUAUUACUCUCUGAGCGCGCUUCCCGGUCACGUGACCACCGUGGUCCAAUCAGCUAUGCUUACUUGCCGGUAUGGUAUGCUCUCGCUCUCUAUCACUCUUUGAUCUCGUCGCGCUCGCCUGAGUCACGUGACCGCUGCAGUCCAAUCAGCUGUGCUUAUACGCCAGUAGCAGGAAGUGGCCAGCAAACGAAACGUGUUUCUGCUCGAGAGCCAACUACCAGCGCCGGAAUUGUUUGUCAUUGAGCUGCGUGUGGCUGUCCAAGCGGAGUCGGAACUUGGUGCUGCUUACCAUCUGCAUAGCUGUGGCGUUGAUGAAGAGUGGAGCGUGGCUGGACUGGUGCUACCUGAAGUCAACGAUGAUCUCCUUGGACUUAACCACGUUCAGGACCAGGUUGUUGGUUCUGCACCAGUCCACCAGAUGUUGCACCUCCUCCCUGUAGUCCAUGUCCUUCAUGUACUUCACAAUGUGGCCCUCAGGUCAGCUGCUCCUGGAAGUACCCAAAUCAAAGCACAAGCUCAGACGGGACAGAGCCUUCUCUUUUGGGGUCCCAAACUCUGGAACCAUCUCCUUCUCCAUGUGAGACUGGCCCCUUCUUUGGCUACUUUUGAGACCCUUCGUAAAACCCAUUUUUACUCACUGGCUUUUAACCCAUCAUGAGACUUUGAACUGUUUUUAACUGCCUUUUUAUCUUAACAUAAUCAUCUACUCUUUUUAUGUGCAUAUAUAUAUAUUAUACCUCUGUCUCAAAUUAUUUAUUUUUGUCUGUCCUUUGCCUGCAUUUCUCUGUGUUCACUUGUUAGUGGAGUACAGCCCUUUGUUUUCCAACUGUGCUUGUUUUUAAAGGGUAUAUAAAUAAAGUUGGUGGUAUCAUUGUAUUGCCCGGCCCAAAUAAUGUACCGUGAGAAUCAGUUUGCCUUCUGAAUUCGAACCAUCACACAAAGAAUUGGAAUCGCAUGAAAUAAGUUAUUGUACAUCAAGACUCACUGUUGGUGUUAACGCAGUUUGUGUCUUUUCACGCACUUAAAUCAGAAAGAAUGCGCAUUUCCGCAAGUUUGCGCAUCACCGGGACACGUUUUUUUUUUUUUUACAGACUCUGCCUUCUCCGGGUCAAAACUCUGGCUUGCUUGUUUUUUUUUUUUAAAUCGAUUGCUUUCCGCUAGGGCGGGCCGAUAUAUGGAAUAUACUGGAUAUAUCGCGGGUUUGUCUCUGUGGGAUAUAGAAAAUGACUAUAUCGUGAUAUCGGAGUAUACGUUCUCACACAGCUGCUUUUAGCUGCGGGCAUUACACUACAUGCGUUUCUCACUAUUUGUCUCUCCUUCUCACAGAGACAUAAAACAAGCGCACCUUCUUACAUACGUCACAUACUGUCGCACGUGCAACGUCACACGCCACCUCGCCGAGCAGACAGGUAGUGACAUGGGUAACAUUAGCUGUGGUACCAGCGGAGCGGUGCAAGGGGUAAUACAAGAGAGAGAAGCUGCCAAUCUGGUAACUAAUGAAGGAAGAAUUCAUUCCCAAGAAAAACAGCACAGGGUCCAUCGUCUGGCGUCUACAGAAAGUAGCAGCACUGCUAAUUUGUAGCAUCAUUUCAAAAGUCACCCGAUAGAGAAUGAGUGCUUGAAACUCCGCAUGUCAACAUCUCGGCCGGUGACACACUAACAAAAUGCCGAAGCAACCAUUUCCACAUAAACACCGUAUGAAAAGCACAGUCAACAACAGAAGGAGAUAACGUCUGCAGUAACCUUCCACAUAGCGAAGAACAUACACUAUUUGAUCUCCUAUUAUGCAGCUCAUUUUUGUUUGACACUUAUAGAAAUAUCUUGUGUGACAUCAUGCACAAAAGUGCACUUUAUUAGUUUUAAACUAUUGUAAUGGCGUUCUGUACAAAAAGAGCACUUUAAUUUAGUGUUGUUUUGAUAUGUCAUCUUAGUGACAUCAUGCACAAAAGUGCACUAAUUGCUUGUUUUAAAAUGUCUGACAAUCUUGCACUUUCUGUUUUGGAAA